rnacentral:lncRNA from 1 species
CAUAAAGUUGGAGGCACAGAACAGAGGAACAGACAGAUGCGUUGUCCUGAUCUUUCUCCAAAACAGCUUUAGUCAUACUGGACAUGACUGUGUGAGUGAAUUGCAAUGUUUGUGGCAAAUAACAAAAUGCAUACUGUAUAACACAGUGGCAGGUAGCCUAGUGGUUAAGAGCAUUGGGACAGUAACAGAAAUGUUGCUGGUUUGAAUCCCCGAGCCGACUAGGUGAAAAAUCUGUCAAUGUUCCCUUGAGCAAGGCACUUAACCCUAAUUACUCCUGUAUGUCAUUCUAGAUAAGAAUGACUAAAAUGUAUGCAAAUCUGGACUGUGUUCAUUGGGGUCUAUAAUGGAAAAGCAAAAUUAGCUUUACCAUUAUAGUCCCUCCUUGUUUUAGUCCCUUUUCUUCUGCUUGGUGCCUAAUGAACACAACCCUACACAUGAGACUGUGUAGUAACGUGGCUCUGUUUCCAGAAUCAUAUCGUAAUCAUUUCGUAGAGGAAAACAUUGUGUAAUCAGAGACCGAACAUGAAGGGUGCCGGGUCCAGAAGUCUAUUCUCACAUCCCUCUAUCACAUGCAAUGGCACGAGCCAGCGGACAAUACAAGAAAACCAGGAAGUCAAACCAGGGAGGGAGAGACCACUCUGACACUGUGGGGGGGGGUCCUGAAUUAGGGACACACACAUACAUAUUCACAGACAUACAUAUUCAUGCAACACACAUACAUAUUCACAGACAUACAUAUUCAUGCAACACACAUACAUACACACAUACUUACAUAAUCAGCUCCUGGAUUCCCCUGAGGGAAACAGGAAGUGAGACGUACAGAGACAGCCGUGCACUGCAGGAAGUAGACCCUGUGACAUUCCAUCCCUGAACAGCUGUGAAAAGAGUCCUUUUUUCUCUCUCUCUUUGUCUUUUUCACUAUGUAUCUCUGUCUCACCCCCUCCCCCUCUCUCUCUCUCUCUCUCUCUCUCUCAAUUCAAUUUCAAUUCAAUUUAAGGGCUUCAUUGGCAUGGGCAACAUAUGUUUACAUUACCAAGGCAAGUGAAAUAGAUAAUAAACAAAAGUGAAACAAACAAUAAAAAAUGUAUAGUAAACAUUACACUUACAAAAGUAUCAAAAGAAUAAAGACAUUUCAAAUGUCAUAUUAUGUAUACAGUACCAGUCAAAAGUUUGGUCACACCUACUCAUUAAAACUCUUGAGGAUCGGGCCCUUUUUUUCAAUUAUCGCCUAAAAUGAAAUACCCAAAUCUUUCUGCCUGUAGCUCAGGACCUGAAACAAGGAUACGCAUAUUCCUGGUACCAUUUGAAAGGAAACACUUUGAAGUUUGUGGAAAUGUGAAAUGAAUGUAGGAGAAUAUGACACAUUAGAUCUGGUAAAAGAUAAUACAAACAAAAAAACAUUAGUUUUCUACUUUUUAUUUUUUUAUCAUCUUUGAAAUGCAAGAGAAAGGCCAUAAUAUAAUAUUGCAGUUUAUGGGCAAUUUAGAUUUUGGCCGCUAGAUGGCAGCAGUGUGUAUGCACAGUUUCAGAUUGAUCCAGUUGAAGCAUUGCAAUAUUGCACAGUAUUUUGGAUCAUGUCUGCCCAAAUGUGCCGAAUUGGUCAAUUGAUACAUUUUCAAGUACAUGUCAUACAUGAUGCAUCAUUAGCUUAUACACUAACUUUCACACAUCUAGAUGGCCGGGCGGGGUGGGUGUGGAGCCAGAGACAGCAGUGGGGUCAAACUGUAGACCCCAGUUCCUACAUUUGAAUAUAAAAAUAGAUUUUAUCAAACUAAACUACUCUACAUUUGAUCUCUGGGACCCUCAGGAUGACAAAUCAGAGCCAGAUUAUUGAAUGUAAUUACAUUAUUUACCUUCAGAGGUGAAUGUAUCAAACAAGUUGCCGCGAUUAAAGGUGGUUUGUUGUUUUUGCACUCUCCUCAAACAAAAGCAUGGUAUUUUGUCAAUGUAAUAGCUACUGUAAAUUGGACAGUGCAGUUAUUAGAUUAACAAUAAUUUAAGCUUUCUGCCCGUAUAAGACAUGUCUAUGUCCUGGAAAGUUUGCUGUUACUUACAACGUCAUUCUAGUCACAAUUGCUCAUGUUAGCAACAACCAUCCCGGUAUAGGGACACCGAUCCCGAGGGUUUUCUUUAUUUUUACUAUUUUCUACAUUGUAGAAUAAUAGUGAAGACGUCAAAACUAUGAAAUAACACAUAUGGAAUCAAUAUAUUUUAGAUUUUAGAUUCUUCAAAGUAGCCACCCUUUGCCUUGAUGACAACUUGCACACUAUUGGCAUUCUCUCAACCAGUUUCAGGUAGUCACCUGGAAUGCAUUUAAAUUAACAGGUGUGGGACAGGUUGGAGGGAGGGGUGUGUGUGUGGGUUUUUGUGAGAGAGAGAGAGCGAGACAGAGCAGGAAACCCUGCUCGGUGUGGCAGAGGAGAAUGGAAUGUUUAAAAAGAACACGCUUCGCCUGCAAACGUCCAGGAUGAGGGCGUUUGCUCGUCCCACUGUCUGUGUGUGGGGGAGGCUGUGACUCUCAUAUUGGCUUGCCCACUCAAAGAUACAUGAGGGGAAGCCUGACCAAAGUAACAAGGAAAUGAACUGUGUGUAUGUAGAGGUGAGCGAGAGAGAGGUGAGUGAGAGAGAGGUGAGUGAGCGAGAGGUGCGUGAGAGAGAGUGAGUGAGAGUGAGAGUGUGAGAGAUAUGCCUUCAGCUGCAUUUCCUCUGACACCUUGUUUCUAGGAAGGGGAAAAGGAAGAGAGGAGUUAAGGAGACGGGAAGGGACGCAAAGGCAGACUAGUAGGCUCCUUUAAAGAGUCUCCCACACAGUGUGUAACACCCACACACACUUCCUCCCAUCUACAGAGCGCCACUGUCUUUAAACCCACCCUCACUACAUCACACCCCACCCACACCAACAAGACCACCCACGUCACACCAAACACAACGGAUCAAUGCCUCUUGCUUUGUAUACAGGAGUACUACUAUUAAUAUAGUCUUACUAC